CCUGAAGGGUAGUACAGAAGAAAGCUAGAGAAGCAGUGUCCAUAGCUCCCCACCUGUUCAACUUGGAAAAUGCAAUCAUCUGGGAAAAUUCUAAGCUACUCCUUAAGCAGAGCAUAGGAAAGCAGUUUAUUUAACCCCAAGCCUUACUUCACUGAACAAAAGGUAAGUCCCCCAGCCCAGAUGGUAUGCAUAAAUUCUUUGUCAGUGUACUCUCAGAGCAUCCAAAACAAAGUUUCCCAGCACAAGGGAUUAUACCGUUCAGACAGCUUUAUCUCACUAAAAAAAUUCCAACCUGCCUUCAGCCUUAAAACUCCUAAGAUGUAGCACUUAUAGAAGCCUGCUUCCCUAUUCUCUGAAUUUCCCCAAAUCCAGCAACUGCAGAAGGAGCCUGAGGCAGGAAACACAAAACAAGGCACAACAGGACACCAAACAUUUGGAGAAAGACCGCUGGCAGACCGCGGUGGCCAGCCAGGAGGAGGAAGUCCCAGGGAGCUGACACCAGCCCCAGGUCCUCUCGUCUGUGUCCCCCUCAGUGUGCCUGGGUCCUCUGUCCCUAGUGCAUUCUGUUGAUGACUCAAACUCUUUGGCAGACCAGACCUUCAUGGAUCAGACUAUUUUUGACUCAUCUGCAGGUUUAAAACACAGCUGAUAUGAGGAAGGAGGAAGGGAAAGGAUAGAUCAUGCUCUGGGAACUCAAGAGCAGGAGAAGAGUCUGGGUGAGUCCAAAAGGGUGACUCACUGCAGAAGGGCAAGUCUGGGGUGCAGGCUACAUGCUGGGCCUGUCUUGUGGCAGACACAGAGAGUGGUACACUGCCCUGUGGUACCCGGGUCAUUCCUUAGAAACAGUGACUCACAGUACCUCCCAGGUAGCCAGGUGAGCCUAGUAGUAAGGACUCUGAAUGGAGUCUGUCCUCACUCAGUGAAGUCUCAGGUCUGCUCUCCCCACUCACUCAGCAGGCUCAGGAAGUCUCCCAGAACGCCAGGGGUCUGGCCACUAAGCAAAGUACCCCUGUACUCGGAAGAGGUUUCUUCUCCCUGGUAACUCACAAAUUCCUUCCUGAUAGCUUGUGGAAUGCUUUGUUUUUAGGAAUCUGGAGAGGAAGCAGCCCUGACUUGGCCCUGACUCCAGGACAGUCUCUGAACAUCCCAGACGGAACACAUCCAGAAAGCUCUCAGCACCUUCUGUCACCUGCAGGAUAAGGGGAAAAGAAUUAAAACUGAAAAACAGGAAAAUUGACCCGAGCUUCACCCAGAGUAACUUCCUCUGAAAUUCAGCACGGCCCAGGCCAUUAAUAAACUGCAUGUCUAAACACA